rnacentral:rRNA from 1 species
AGGGUUCGAUUCUGGCUCAGGAUGAACGCUGGCGGCGUGCUUAACACAUGCAAGUCGAACGGGAUCCCAGGAGCUUGCUCCUGGGUGAGAGUGGCGAACGGGUGAGUAAUGCGUGACCGACCUGCCCCAUACACCGGAAUAGCUCCUGGAAACGGGUGGUAAUGCCGGAUGCUCCAGUUGACCGCAUGGUCCUCUGGGAAAGCUUUUGCGGUAUGGGAUGGGGUCGCGUCCUAUCAGCUUGAUGGCGGGGUAACGGCCCACCAUGGCUUCGACGGGUAGCCGGCCUGAGAGGGCGACCGGCCACAUUGGGACUGAGAUACGGCCCAGACUCCUACGGGAGGCAGCAGUGGGGAAUAUUGCACAAUGGGCGCAAGCCUGAUGCAGCGACGCCGCGUGCGGGAUGACGGCCUUCGGGUUGUAAACCGCUUUUGACUGGGAGCAAGCCCUUCGGGGUGAGUGUACCUUUCGAAUAAGCACCGGCUAACUACGUGCCAGCAGCCGCGGUAAUACGUAGGGUGCAAGCGUUAUCCGGAAUUAUUGGGCGUAAAGGGCUCGUAGGCGGUUCGUCGCGUCCGGUGUGAAAGUCCAUCGCUUAACGGUGGAUCCGCGCCGGGUACGGGCGGGCUUGAGUGCGGUAGGGGAGACUGGAAUUCCCGGUGUAACGGUGGAAUGUGUAGAUAUCGGGAAGAACACCAAUGGCGAAGGCAGGUCUCUGGGCCGUCACUGACGCUGAGGAGCGAAAGCGUGGGGAGCGAACAGGAUUAGAUACCCUGGUAGUCCACGCCGUAAACGGUGGAUGCUGGAUGUGGGGACCAUUCCACGGUCUCCGUGUCGGAGCCAACGCGUUAAGCAUCCCGCCUGGGGAGUACGGCCGCAAGGCUAAAACUCAAAGAAAUUGACGGGGGCCCGCACAAGCGGCGGAGCAUGCGGAUUAAUUCGAUGCAACGCGAAGAACCUUACCUGGGCUUGACAUGUUCCCGACAGCCCCAGAGAUGGGGCCUCCCUUCGGGGCGGGUUCACAGGUGGUGCAUGGUCGUCGUCAGCUCGUGUCGUGAGAUGUUGGGUUAAGUCCCGCAACGAGCGCAACCCU